AUUCUGGUUGAUCCUGCCAGUAGUUAUAUGCUUGUAAAAGUGAAACCGCAAAAGGCUCAUUAUAUCAGUUAUGGUUCCUUAGAUCGUUAACAGUUACUUGGAUAACUGUGGUAAUUCUAGAGCUAAUACAUGCAAUUAAAACACGGACCUUCUGGGACGUGUGCUUUUAUUAGACUAAAACCAAGCGAUCAAUUGAUCGUUAUAUUGGUUGAACUCUAGAUAACAUGCAGAUCGUAUGGUCUUGUACCGACGACAGAUCUUUCAAAUGUCUGCCCUAUCAACUUUUGAUGGUAGUAUCUAGGACUACCAUGGUUGCAACGGGUAACGGGGAAUCAGGGUUCGAUUCCGGAGAGGGAGCCUGAGAAACGGCUACCACAUCUAAGGAAGGCAGCAGGCGCGUAAAUUACCCACUCCCAGCUCGGGGAGGUAGUGACGAAAAAUAACAAUACAGGACUCAUAUCCGAGGCCCUGUAAUUGGAAUGAGUACACUUUAAAUCCUUUAACAAGGACCAAUUGGAGGGCAAGUCUGGUGCCAGCAGCCGCGGUAAUUCCAGCUCCAAUAGCGUAUAUUAAAGUUGUUGCGGUUAAAACGUUCGUAGUUGAACUUGUGCUUCAUACGGGUAGUACAACAUACAUUUGUAGUUAGUACUAUACCUUUAUGUAUGUAAGCGUAUUAUCGGUGGAGUUCUUAUAUGUAAUUAAGUACUUGUACUUUUUUAUAUAUUCCUCCUAUUUAAAACCUACAUUAGUGCUCUUAAUCGAGUGUUUUUGUGGGCCGGUACAAUUACUUUG
rnacentral:ncRNA from 1 species